UACGUAGGGUGCGAGCGUUGUCCGGAAUUACUGGGCGUAAAGAGCUCGUAGGUGGUUUGUCGCGUUGUUCGUGAAAACCGGGGGCUUAACCCUCGGCGUGCGGGCGAUACGGGCAGACUUGAGUACUGCAGGGGAGACUGGAAUUCCUGGUGUAGCGGUGGAAUGCGCAGAUAUCAGGAGGAACACCGGUGGCGAAGGCGGCUAUCUGGACAGAAACUGACGCUGAGGCGCGAAAGCUAGGGGAGCAAACAGG
rnacentral:rRNA from 1 species